rnacentral:lncRNA from 1 species
CAUCCUGGCAGGUACAGAGAAGGAAUUUGGCAGGUGGAAGGGGUUGUACAGGAGUCAACAGCAUUCUGAGGGUAACAGCCAGACUCAGGGACACAGCUGUCACUCGGUCCAGCGGUGGCCACAAUGCGGAGCUGUGCAGACAUAGUAGAGCCUCAUGGCAUCCUCAGCUCUUGCACUGUGCGACUGGAAGAAAACAGCCUCCUUGUGCCCGCACUUCUGGCAGGGGUGGUCCUCAGUGCGCGGCAGUGUAGGGUCCUGGGAGACAUCAGCGAUGAUCUGCGUGAGCUCAUCCACUUCGUGCGUGAUCUUGUUGACGUAGAUGCAGCUGCUGUCGGCCUCCUGCUGGUAGUCGCAGUUGCGGCACGCAUAAAGCAGCACGCGGCUCUCCUUGUCCUCCUUGGGGUACAGCAUGUUGUUACACUCCUGGCAGAAGCGGAUGCCCACGAAACCCGGCUCAGACGGACCCUCCGACUCCAUGGCGGCUCCGCGCAUGCGCACCGCGACCGACCACGG